CGUUCAGAGAAGGCAUGUCCGGGUUAAUCAUCAAAACUGAGCAAUGAUGACAGUGGUUCCAGGAAAUGCUUGGAUGUUGUUGUUCACAUGCUCAGCGAAUGAUCCCCAGAGCACAACAGUGAGCCAUUCAUCCCUUCAAAUUGAAAAAUGGUACAUCUUCAAAUUCAGUGACAUUGACCAGUUGGCCAACGACGUCUAGAACAAAAACGAUUAUAACAGGGAAUAUAGAAUCAAAAUAAACGAAGCUUACAGAACAGAGGUUUCUCUUCCACUGUUUGGCAUUGACAUCAUACACGAACUUGUGAGGAAUCUCAUGAUAAACAUAUAUAGGUGAUUUGUGUUGGCAAUUUCUCUUGAACCAUGAUGUAAAAGGAUGGACAUAAAGCUUUGCGAUUGGGACAAAAUCUGCUUCAGAUGAAGAUGGAGAAUUGUAAGAAGUCGGAAGUUGUUUGGUUGCUUUUGACGAAGAACAUGUACAUUGUGGAGAUUUAUGUGUUAGUGAAGAAAAG